AUACGGAGGGUGCAAGCGUUAUCCGGAAUCAUUGGGUUUAAAGGGUCCGUAGGCGGGCAAAUAAGUCAGAGGUGAAAUCCCACAGCUUAACUGUGGAACUGCCUUUGAUACUGUUUGUCUUGAGUUAUAGUGAAGUAGAUAGAAUAUGUAGUGUAGCGGUGAAAUGCAUAGAUAUUACAUAGAAUACCGAUUGCGAAGGCAGUCUACUAACUAUUGACUGACGCUAAUGGACGAAAGCGUGGGGAGCGAACAGGAUUAGAAACCCGUGUAGUCC
rnacentral:rRNA from 1 species